AGCAAAUCCAUCUGCGUUAGCCGCUGAAAAGAGCCAGGCGGAUCUCGCCCUCCCUUUCUUCCCAAGGAAAUCGGCCGGGAUGCUGCUGUUUGCUUUUUCUGCAAAGCACCGCCAGCCUUGAACGCUGUGAAAGGCCUGAGGAAGAAAGUUGCUGG